rnacentral:lncRNA from 1 species
UGUGUCUCAGGUAGGGACCAGGAGGAGAAGGAAGAAGGUAAGGGAAGAUGGAGGUGGUCAUGAGGCAGGAUGGACCAAUAGUAGUAUGUAGUCAAGAGAAAAAACACCCUGAGGACCCAUAAAGAGCAGAGCAAAAAGAGCAAGUCUCAGUUGGCAAGUAACACAGGGCCUAUGGCUACGAUGUACAAUAGAACAACUCAGAACCUGCCAGGAUUACAGCUCACUAAUAAAACUGUAUCAGGUUUGUGUCUUAUUCAGGAGCUAGUUGGGCUAGAGUGUAGGAAGAACCCUCAUAGAUUACUUUUAUAAGUAUCCCAUCCUAUUUGUUACUUAAGACCCAGUGCCUAGAAGAUGUAUUAUUUUACCACAGGCUGAAAAUAUAAUGUUUUUGGAACUGGAUGUGUCCCCACCGGCUAUCUUUGAGAUGGAGUUUUCUCAUGACCAAGAGCAAGACCCACGGGUACUACACAUGGAGAGGCUCAUGAGGUUGGACAGCUUUCUGGAAAGACCGUCCACAACUAAAGUGCGAAAGUCGAGAUCCUGGUGCCAGAGUCCUCAGCGGAUGCCUCCACCCUCCACAGCUCAUGCAUCCAUGACCUCUGUUCCUUUGCACCCUGCAACAGUGGUAGACCAUGACUGAUACCCCCCAGUCAGGCUGCCCAUCCCUGGUUCAUCCCAUCUGAUGCUUGGUGCGUGUGUGUUUGUGUGUGUGGUAUGUAUGCAUGUGUGUGUGAACUAGUGUGUGUACCAGUGUGUGUGAAGGGGCAAGAAACUAUCAGGUGAUGUCUCUGCCUGUUCUCUGUGCCUCCUUUAUUUAAUUCAUGUUAUUUAUUCACGGAGCUUGGUUAGUGAGAAGAGAUCCCCCUGCUUGAGAUGCCUGGUCCUGCCAUGGUCACAGCACAGCCUCCUGUUCUCUUGGCUAGGGAGAGACUUAGGCAGGCCCCAAGCUCCUUAUGUCAGCUGCCUCCAAGAGGGAAGAUGGCUAGUGCCUGAGAAGACAGUGCUUCCUUUACCCAUCCAAGUCCACAGUUUCCAUCUUCUUGUGUGUGAUGGUGAGCAGCCGUGGAUGCUUUCUGGCUCUGGGAGACUGCUGGUGUCCUCUGAAGCCUUGGCAGGAACUUGUGGCUUCCCCAACUCCACUUCAUUGCCAGCCCUCUCUGCCCUUGGAUUGGGAAUUGUCAACCAAACAGUUGUUGCCACCAUGAGACCUGCAGGAAAUGGAGCAGUGUGGAGAACCAGUGGCCUGCCGUCAGGGGCAAUCUUUCUUCAGUGCCCUCUCUUCUCCAAGAAGCUCCUUUGGAGAACAAACCAUCAGGCCACCUCUCCAGUGAGAUGUGGCUCCUUCAUGUUCUCAUCACUGUUCCCUGAAGCUGUCAGGUCUCGGUCCACAGCGGAGAGAACCAGAGCCCUUCUCCCCUUACUGAAUGCAGAUAACAAAAUCCUUUGCUUUGUGCCUCCAGCUAAGACAAGAAACAAACCCAGGCCCAAUUUUUGCCAGAUUUACCUUUUACUCUUACUUCUUAGUUACAUCUUGGGGGAGGGGGCACUAUUUUGUUGAAAAAUCAAUCCAUUCUUUACCACUUGUGUGGCUUGGUCCUUCCUCACCUUCCUUUGUGACCACCCCAAAUGUCUCCAGGUAUUGCAAGUGAUAAGUAAAUUUCUAUUUUAAAAAG